rnacentral:rRNA from 1 species
AACGAACGCUGGCGGCAGGCCUAACACAUGCAAGUCGAGCGCCCCGCAAGGGGAGCGGCGGACGGGUGAGUAACGCGUGGGAACGUACCCUUUGCUACGGAAUAGCCUCGGGAAACUGGGAGUAAUACCGUAUGUGCCCUUCGGGGGAAAGAUUUAUCGGCAAAGGAUCGGCCCGCGUUGGAUUAGGUAGUUGGUGGGGUAAUGGCCUACCAAGCCGACGAUCCAUAGCUGGUUUGAGAGGAUGAUCAGUUACACUGGGACUGAGACACGGCCCAGACUCCUACGGGAGGCAGCAGUGGGGAAUCUUAGACAAUGGGCGCAAGCCUGAUCUAGCCAUGCCGCGUGAGCGAUGAAGGCCUUAGGGUUGUAAAGCUCUUUCAGUGGGGAAGAUAAUGACUGUACCCACAGAAGAAGCCCCGGCUAACUCCGUG